rnacentral:rRNA from 1 species
AAAACUUUCAACAACGGAUCUCUUGGUUCUGGCAUCGAUGAAGAACGCAGCGAAAUGCGAUAAGUAAUGUGAAUUGCAGAAUUCAGUGAAUCAUCGAAUCUUUGAACGCACAUUGCGCCCCUCGGUAUUCCGGGGGGCAUGCCUGUUCGAGCGUCACU